GGCAGCCCUGUCCAAUUCAGCGCCGUCCGCUGCGGUCGGUGCUGGCCCAGCCGGCUGCUACGGAAAUACCUGCAGCUCGUGGGCCCCACGUCGUGGGAUCGCGGGAUGGUUUGGGUGGGAAGGGACCU
rfam:Pygoscelis adeliae contig63125, whole genome shotgun sequence.